ACUACGGGAGGCAGCAGUGAGGAAUAUUGGUCAAUGGACGCAAGUCUGAACCAGCCAUGCAGCGUGCAGGAAGACGGCCCUAUGAGUUGUAAACUGCUUUUGUACGAGGAUAAACGCAGAUACGUGUAUCUGUCUGUAGGUAUCGUACGAAUAAGGAUCGGCUAACUCCGUGCCAGCAGCCGCGGUAAUACGGAGGAUUCGAGCGUUAUCCGGAUUUAUUGGGUUUAAAGGGUGCGUAGGCGGUCGGAUAAGUUAGAGGUGAAAUGCCGAGGCUCAACGUCGGAAUUGCCGCUGAUACUGUUCGGCUAGAGAGUAGUUGCGGUAGGCGGAAUGUGUGGUGUAGCGGUGAAAUGCUUAGAGAUCAUACAGAACACCGAUUGCGAAGGCAGCAUACCAAGCUACUUCUGACGUUGAGGCACGAAAGCGUGGGGAGCAAACAGGAUUAGAUACCCGUGUAGUC
rnacentral:rRNA from 1 species